rnacentral:rRNA from 1 species
AGAGUUUGAUCCUGGCUCAGGACGAACGCUGGCGGCGUGCCUAACACAUGCAAGUCGAACGGAGAUAAGCGCUGAUGAUUUAGCUUGCUAGAGAUUCUUGCUUAUCUUAGUGGCGGACGGGUGAGUAACGCGUGAGUAACCUGCCUCAAAGAGGGGGAUAACGUCUGGAAACGGACGCUAAUACCGCAUAAUAUAUUGUUGUGGCAUCACGGCGAUAUCAAAGGAGGAAUCCGCUUUGAGAUGGACUCGCGUCCAAUUAGCUAGUUGGUGAGGUAACGGCCCACCAAGGCGACGAUUGGUAGCCGG